UUCCUUCAAUGGUCACCGGUUGAAUUGUCUGUUCCCCAGAAAACAUUAGCUUAUAUAAGCCAAGAAGAUCUGCAUAUUGCUGUGAUGACUGAGGGAAACACUUGAAUUUGCUGCCCAAUGUCUUUGUGUUGGAAACCGAGGAAAGCUAUUUUUGUUUCUGCUUGUGCAGAUAUGAUGAUGGAAGUCAGUAAAAGAGAGGAGACAGGCACUGUUCUGGAUCCAGAUGUAGAUACUUACAUGAAGGUGUCUUCAACAUACUUAUCUUGUUUAUAUCAGAUGUAUUGUUCUAUAUGCAGUUGCUACAUGUAUGAAAUAUUCAUGACAUGGACAUGCGUUACUACCUCAUUGGGUACAGUCCUGAGGUCGAGAGGCAGGAUCGAGCAAAGACUAUUGAGAUUCUUGUCAAGGACCUUAAGGUUUUUGCAUCUUUCAAUGAAGAUCUUUUCAAGGAGAUUACUCAGCUCCUCACUCUUGAUAACUUUAGGCAAAAUGAGCAUCUUUCCAAGUAUGGAGACACAAAAUCGGCUCUUAAUAUUAUGCUUAUAGAACUCAAAAAGCUAAUUGAAGCAAACCCCCUGUUUUGUGACAAGCUUAUACAUUCCCAGCCUUCAAAAGUUCACGUCUGAGGACAUUAAUAAACCAGAGGUGAUCAAGGAGUGAGUCGAAUAGAGGAUUCUCAGAUGUAAAUGAAGUAUUGUCAGAAGGAGGAGAAGAGGACCGAAACCUGAUGACGAGUAUGGAAGAUGAGGAAGAAAGCAGCAAUAGAUGUCCUCUGAGGAAGAAGCCCUGUCUCUCCAAAGAAUGCUCUCAUCUUCUCAAAGAAAGUUUCAG